UUUUUUUUUUUUUUUUUUGAGACGGAGUCUCACUCUGUCGCCCAGGCUGGAGUGCAGUGGCACAAUCUCGGCUCACUGCAAGCUCCGCCUCAUGGGUUCACGCCAUUCUCCUGCCUCAACCUCCCGAGUAGCUGGGACGACAAGCGCUCACCACCACGCCCAGCUAAUUUUUUUGUAUUUUUAGUAGAGAUGGGGUUUCACCGUGUUAGCCAGGAUGGUCUCGAUCUCCUGACCUCAAGAUCCGCCCGCCUUGGCCUCCCAAAGUGCCGGGAUUACAGGCGUGAGCCACUGCACCCGGCCACACCACCGGGUUUUGUAUGAUCCCUGAGCAAUCAAUGGUUUUACAUUUUUAAGUGGUUGAAAAAGAUCAAGAGAAGAAGAAUAUUUCAUGACACAUGAAAAUUGUAUGAAAUUCAAAUUUCAGUGUGCAUAAAUAAAAUUUCAUUAGAAUACAGCAACACCCAGUCAUUUCUGUAUUAUCUAUGGCUGCUCCGUGCUACAAGCACAGAGGUGAGUAGUUGUGAUGGAGACUAUAUAGCCCCUGCAAUAUUUCCCAUCUGACUCUUUACAGAUUCUAAUAAGGAGCUUGUCUAAGAGACUGUGUGGUGACAAGGAGAGGACAGGCCAAUCUCAGGGGACUGUUUCUCUUGGGGCUCUCUGCUGCAUGCUUCAGAAGAUUCUGUUUUACCUCUGGCUGCAGAGGCACUGCCAGCCUCCUGGAGCCCAGAGACAGCUUGAGGGAGCUGUCCGCCUCCUAAGUGUUUUAGGGAAGGAGCCCCAGAGGGAAGCCCCCCCAGGGAGAACCCCCCAUCCCCGAGCCACUUGCCCUGUGGCAGCUCCUCUGACCUCCCUUUUUCCUGGGCUUAGUUUUCUCCAGAAGGUAGGGAGGGUGGCAUGGUUAAGGUGGCUGGACUUCCGGACACCAGCUCUCCAAGACAGAGGCAACCCACCCCAAGUGGGAGCCCUGGGCACCCUCUCUCCUCCCAGAGGCUGUUGCACAUCUGCACUGCAGGCCCUAUGUAGGCGGGCAGUCUGCGAGAGCCCUGGUAGAUUAUUCUUAGGAAAAGCAGGAGAGCCAGCCGCUUCAGGGAGGUGGAAACUCUGCUCCUAAUGACAGGCCUCUCUCUCUAGGGAGCUUAUAAUCACCGUGGGAGGCUCCCCCUUCGUGUGGCAGAGACACCAGGGCUGAUGGAGCCAACGACAUUGAAGAAGGCUGCUGUGUGGCCUUGGGGGUGGCGUAUGUGUGCAUAUUCACAGGGCUGUGCAGAGAAGGGACAGGAAUUUAAAUGCAAACGCAAAGGCUCUGUCCUUGCAAAGGCUAGGGUACUGGGGAUGAACAGGAAGUUGAGAGUAGGAGGAAACAGUGGCUGCCCUCCUGAGUGCAGGGGCAAGGGCACAGUGCAGUGCAGGAGUGUGGCCGUGCAGCCAGCCCACCCCUUGAAUGCCUCCUUCUUUCCCCUUGUCCUUCCUCCACCAUCUCUGGGAAGUCUGGAGGGCUGGGCCAACCCCCACCACUGCCCUGCGCCCUCCAGGGAAGAAAAGUCCUGUUUUACCAGACUUCUCAGGUAACAAAGGUAGAACAUUGUCCUUUCUCAGCAUCCCCAGUUUCAAGCAUCUGGCAGCCUCUGCCCCCUUGGGUCACCUUCCUUAGGAGUAGAUCUGGAUGAAGAAGUAGAAGUUGAGGCCGUGCUCCAACACUGAGUGGCUUCGUGGGCGAGUCACUACUUCUCUAAGUUUACAUUUCCUUCAUAUAAUAACACCUGUCUCCCAA
rnacentral:lncRNA from 1 species